rnacentral:rRNA from 1 species
AAUCAACGCUGGCGGCGUGCCUCAGACAUGCAAGUCGAACGCGAAAGGUUCCUUCGGGGACCGAGUAGAGUGGCGCACGGGUGAGUAACACGUAGGUAAUUUGCCUUUGGGUGGGGAAUAACUCAGGGAAACUUGAGCUAAUACCGCAUAAUGCAGCGGCUCGACAUCGAGACAGUUGUUAAAGCGGGGGAUUCGCAAGAACCUCGCGCCUAAAGAGAAGCCUGCGGCAGAUAGCUAGUUGGUAAGGUAAUGGCUUACCAAGGCGACGAUCUGUAACCGGCCUGAGAGGGCGGUCGGUCACACUGACACUGACAUACGGGUCAGACUCCUACGGGAGGCAGCAGUCGGGAAUUUUGGGCAAUGGGCGAAAGCCUGACCCAGCAACGCCGCGUGAAGGAUGAAAUUUUCGGAA